rnacentral:lncRNA from 1 species
CUCCGGAUUUCCCUCAGUACCUAGUGGCAGGAGCUCCCUAAGCAUUAGUUCCUGCUGGCAAGUGUAUGGCCUCACACUGUACAGUUUGUCAGAGAUAAGGCAGGAUGUAAAAAGCCCAGGCGCCUAAUGCUGCUCAUGGCUCCUCCUUUUUAGCAUGUAGCUCACUCACUUAGUUCAGGGAGAAAAUGCUGUUCCUCGGCUGCACCUCCCCCAAAGGAGCAGCUCUGGUGGUUUCUCUUUAAUUCAUGCAUCCUGGUGGAAGCCUGGCUCCCGAUGGCUCAGCACAGGGCCUUCCACCCAUAGAACGCAGACAGAAGUGGCUCUGUUUCGGGCUCCACCGCGGGAGGAGGAGUUUUCAUUCAGACUUUCGGAGGAGGUGGAGAUACCGAGAGCCUCACCAGAAAAGGUCCCCGGAGCCAGCCGGGGAUUCAGUCCUUUUCCUGCUCCUGCAUCGCCAUGGACCUGCCUUCCUCUCCCAGAGCCCCAAUUUCAACUCCCUCUUUGUAGAAAGGAGGAAGCUGGAGCCCAGGGAGGGAGAGGCCAAAGACCUGCCUGUAUUCAGGACCCGGCUCAAGUGAGAAUUUGGAAGCAGAGGCUGGAGGACCACCUGCUGAGAGAGGAGGGCCUUGUGCCAAGGAGUAGAUGAACUAGGUGACCACCUUGCAAUUCUCGAUGGGUGCCGUGGUUGGGGUUGUGAAAGCUCGCAUCUCAGUGGGAAGGCCUAGGCAGGAAGAUGGAGAUGGAGUGGAAAGUGGCAACACAUGGAUGGGAAAAGCAUGUUGAGAAGUGAUCAGAACUGGGCAAAGGGGAAAAGCAGAGGAUGGAAACAAGGGGCUUAAUGAAUACAGUUCCCUACCUCUUCUUCUAUUGAGUUUUCAUUCUUUGGUGUAUAGAGGCAACUGAUCCUGCUCAUGCCUCAUGCCCCUUCUUACUCUUCGGUGAUGGUCUUGCCUAUGUGAUCUCAUUCUAUCUAUCACUCUCUCUCUCUCUCUCUCUCUCUCUCUCUCUCUCAAUGGCUAAG